GCUACACUGAGGAUGGAUUAUAAAUGGCCCUGUCUCAAAAGUAGACCGUGGGGCUGGAGAACCAUGCUACAUGACAUAGAGUAAAUUUAACUUCCCCAACAAUGUGGCAAAGCCUAACAAUAAGCCAGGUACCACUAAAGAUCAAGAGUUCUUUGAACCAUUGUGUGAGUGGAACCUACAUCAUUCCUGCCUCACAGAUCAGGGGUACUUUUUGACCAUUUGCCCUCGAUAAUUCUUUCUCCAUCUGGAAAAAUAAUUACAGACUGAUAAACUGUCACUAGAAAAAGCAUGAUUUGGACCGUUUCUCUCUCAAGAUAUAAUCUUUAUUUUACAUAAGAGGGAAAGAUCAUGAGCAAGGCAUACUCUAAGUCUUACUAUCUUACUUCUCACUAAGUGGUGAUCUUUCUAUUUGAAAAUAGAGUACACAAACAAAAAAGGAAAAGCUGUGAAUUAAUAAUGUCAUUAUUUCCAAUCUUCUCUGUUACAAAAGAGCAAAGUAAGUCAGCGCCCUAGGAGGAAGAUUCAUAGAAUUGUGUUCACAGAGAAUGACUAUGGAUAAAAUCUCUCCUUUGUCUGCCCUUCUUAACAUAAAAGAAAAGAGGAAACUCUUCAAUUCUCUACAGGUUUUGAAAUAAUUCAAGGAGAGGAUCUCACCAGCCAAGUGUUCAGUUACCAGUGUGAGUAAUUAUCUGAUUACAGAAAGGCAGCUUCUCUUCUACGGGAAUGAGAUGGCCAGCUUUUGGGAAAAUGUCUUUAAUUCUAACAUAUUGUAGAGUGUGCCCAACAGUUUCAAAAUGUUAAUAAUAAUAACAAUAAUAAUACCUCUUAAAAAGCCACCAAUUCACCAUGUUCUCCCUCUCUUCAGAAGAGCUAUUUUUAUGUUUUAGCUACUAUAUUCCCAGUGAGGAGCAAACUAUUUAGAUAAGUAUGUACUGGGCAAAAAUCCCAUUCACACAUAAAGCGACUUGUGACCUCUCACCCAUUUCUCAGCCCAUCCAUGCAAAUAUGUGCAAAUUGUUACCUGACUCACAUUCAGUUCAGCUCAUAGGUGUUAACACUGCACACUGAAGCCUUGCUUAUCCAGGGUGCCCUAAACGGUAUUUCUAUUAAAGAUAACCACAAUAAAACAUCACUAGAAUGUGAUGUA
rnacentral:lncRNA from 1 species